GACGAACGCUGGCGGCGUGCUUAACACAUGCAAGUCGAACGGAAAGGCCCUGCUUUUGUGGGGUGCUCGAGUGGCGAACGGGUGAGUAACACGUGAGUAACCUGCCCUUGACUUUGGGAUAACUUCAGGAAACUGGGGCUAAUACCGGAUAGGAGCUCCUGCUGCAUGGUGGGGGUUGGAAAGUUUCGGCGGUUGGGGAUGGACUCGCGGCUUAUCAGCUUGUUGGUGGGGUAGUGGCUUACCAAGGCUUUGACGGGUAGCCGGCCUGAGAGGGUGACCGGCCACAUUGGGACUGAGAUACGGCCCAGACUCCUACGGGAGGCAGCAGUGGGGAAUAUUGCACAAUGGGCGGAAGCCUGAUGCAGCAACGCCGCGUGCAGGAUGACGGCCUUCGGGUGGUAAACCGCUUUCGCCUGUGACGAAGCGUGAGUGACGGUAAUGGGUAAAGAAGCACCGGCUAACUACGU
rnacentral:rRNA from 1 species